CCGAAAAUGCUGGGAUUACAGGCGUGAGCCACCGUGCCCGGCCCCAGGGCUUUUUCAAAGUGUAUUUCAUAAUAACAAGAAUGCCUAUUCAUUAAAGGUUUUAUAAGAUUUUACAGUUGACAAUGCUCUUUUAGAGAAUACAUUCUCAUUGGAAUUUCACAGUAACUUUUAAGAUACAUAGGAUAGGCGUUAUUAUUGUUUUUUUGUACUGUGCAGAUGCAGAACUUGGGUUUAGACAGAGUAAAUUACUUCUCAAGAUCCCAGAGGUUAUAUUCUCCACUCCAUCACACCUCUUUUUCCAAAGAUGCAGUGCAAAGAAAGUAUAAUCUCUGGAGUAAUUAAAGCUCAGUGAGGAAAUGAUAUCACCUGAUGGCCCUAUGAAGCAUUCAGCAAUAAAAGGUGAGUUGCCCAAAAUGCAUUUACCCUGAACAGGAAUACAAUGAAACUACCAAGUUUUAUCUUUAUAAUGAUUCGUGGCUUAUUAUUUUGUUGUUUGUAUAUGUUCUGUUUCCCACAUCAGUGUUGUCUUACAUUAUUAUCUGUCUUAACUUAGACUCUGUUUUCUAAAUUGCUCUGUGCAAUUAAAUGCUUUGUGAUCAUAAUAAAAAGCAUCAUGAUAACUUUUAGACUAGAGGUUUCCAUACAAAGCUGUAUCCCAUGGAGAGCAGCUACUGGCACUGAACAAUGGCUAGAGAUACUCUACAUAGGGAAGGGGCUGACAAUUAUUCAGUUUAAAUCAAUCACUUGUGCAUAUAUCUCGAUAGAACACUAGGCUAGUUCGUUGUGUGUGUGUGUGUGCGUGUGUGUGUGUGCAUGUGUGUGUGUGUGUAUGUAUGUAAUUCACUGCUUACUCUAUAACAGAGAGAAUAUCAAUUAAAUUGGGCCAUAUAGGAAGAUCAAUUAAUAUAUUUGUUAAUUGAGGAACUUUUGAUGGCCUUGUUGAUCCCCUAUGGUUUGAUCUUUAAAUCUGUAGUGUUUAUUAGACUCACUACAGACUCUCUGUAAAUCGUAAGACAUUUACAUCUAUAAAUGCAUUUUAAAACAUCAAAUUUUAAAUUUUGCAGCACUAAAAUGUGUCAGACAAUAUUCUCAAUUAACUUGCAUUAAUAUUUGCUUAGUGUCUGAUAAAAUGUGUAGUGUAGGACAAAAUGUCCUACAUAAUCAACAAAACACUCUUCCAAAAUUAAACAUAAUAUUUGUUAAGAUGGUCACUGUUUUUUUAAAAAAAGAGCACUACUACACAGAUCAAGCCAAUGAGCCCCAGUCAGUUGACAGAAGUACAUAUUUGGGACUCCUUCUCUAAAUUUUUUAUAAAAAUACCUGAAGAAGAUGAAUAGUCAUUUGCUUUCUUAUUUUAAAAGAUCUGUCCCCCCAACUAACUUUUUAAUCUUCUACUUGUUACCAAAUACGAUAAAAAGGAGAGGGGGAAAAAAGCAGACACCAGUUUCAUUCGUGAAUGUAAACUUUGGUUUUUUGGUUUUCUUUUCUUUUUUUUUUUGAGACAGGGUCUCACUCUGUCACCUAAGCCGGAGUGCAGUGGAACGAUCUCAGCUCACUCACUGCAACCUCCACCUCCCAGCUCAAGCCAUCCUCUUACCUCAACCUCCCAAGUAAUUGGGAUUACAGGCGCAGCCACCACGCCUGGCUUUUUUUAGUAGAGAGAGGGUCCAUGUUGCCCAAGCUGACCUCUAACUCCUGGGCUCAGGUGAUCCACCCACCUCAGCCUCCCGAAGUGCUGGGAUUACACAUUGCACCUGGCUGAACUUCUGAAAUGAAUGAAGUGCUCCUAAAUGAAUGAACAUCUUGAAUGGCAAAUUAAGUUUCAAGUGACAUAUAAGCCAACAAGUAUUUCUAAAUUUCUAAAAUAAAUUUCCAAAUUCGAAGUCAUUCUUUCUUUUCUUUCUUUUUUUUUUUUUGUUGUUGUUGUUUGUUUGUUUUUUUGUGUGUGUGUUUUUGCCGGUCUGUUUUUAAUCGUGGCAGCGCCUCACACACACAUUCAGGGUUCAGAUCUUGUUCAAAGCUGCGAUGUCGACACUCUGCACAUGCUCCUCAAACUUGGUGAUCUCCUCCUCCAGCAAGUCUGUCCCCACUUUGUCGUCCUCC
rnacentral:lncRNA from 1 species